rnacentral:rRNA from 1 species
GGGCCCGCACAAGCGGUGGAGCAUGUGGUUUAAUUCGAUGAUACGCGAGGAACCUUACCAGGGCUUAAAUGGGAAAUGACAGGGGCAGAGACGCCCCCUUCUUCGGACAUUUUUCAAGGUGCUGCAUGGUUGUCGUCAGCUCGUGCCGUGAGGUGUCAGGUUAAGUCCUAUAACGAGCGCAACCCCUACCGUUAGUUGCCAGCGUGUAAUGACGGGGACUCUAACGGAACUGCCGGUGCAAACCGUGAGGAAGGUGGGGACGACGUCAAAUCAUCACGGCCCUUACGUCCUGGGCCACACACGUGCUACAAUGGUAGGUACAGAGGGAAGCCACCCCGCGGGGGGAGCGGAUCUAUAAAACCGAUCUCAGUUCGGAUCGGGGUCUGCAACUCGACCCCGUG